GUGUGUCCAUCCGAUGAACAAGAGAGCUGUCAACAGAAGAAGCACGACUCAUGUACCUUCAGGCUCUUCUCUUCUUGGUUCAAGAUCUUCAGAAUCUUUAUUUAUUUUUAGGUGCUCACUGUACCUUCAUGCUCUUUGACAGAACCUCUUUGCAAGGAAGUGUGUGAGUAGUGAGAAAUUUUAAAUCAGUGAGCAAAAUUUCUCAUAUGUACUCACUGUAAGUGUUCACUACAUCUUUAACUGUUCAUAGAAAGGUGGUUAGAUCUGGCAUAAAUAGUAUUCAUUGCAAGAUUACAUGAAGUACUAAUAUUCCAAUAUGCCACAUUUCUUGCUUAAUGGUGCCCACUAAUAGGAAAUAAAGAGUAAUGUAUGUAGUAUUACUUGGUAGUGGUUUACUCUGCUUUUCCAGGAAAAUAGUGUUAUUUAUUUAUGUAUGUAUGUGUGUAUGUGUGUGUGUGUGUGUGUGUGUGUGUGUGUGUGUGUAUGUAUGUAUGUAUGUAUGUACGUACGUACGUACGUACUAUUAUUAUUAUUAUUAUUACUACUACUACUACUACUACUACUACUACUACUACUACUACUACUACUACUACUACUACUACUACUUGGUAGUGGUUUACUCUGCUUUUCCAGGUUGCAAAAAGGCAAUACUUGUCUGUGCUACUUGCAGUUUACUCCGCUCAUUCUACGGGUACUAAUAGGACCCAUUAGUACAUUCAGGUGGAUGGCAAGAGGACUAGAGGAUGCCUCAGGCGAGGGUGUCCAGCAAGCACUGUUAAAGAUAUUCGAAGGAACUGUAAUUGCCCAUGCUGUUUAGAAGAGUGGGAGUUUUACAGUGUGCAGACGUGACUAAUCUGACAUAUUUUUCUGCUUCAUAGAUUCUGAACUCGCAUGUAUCAUAUUAUGUCUGUUUGUUUCUAAACAAGAACAAUUUCACAUUUGCAUUGUUAGGUGAUCAGUGUGCCAAGAAAAAGAAGUCGAGAUAUCAUAUCCCAUGGUUAAUGUCGAGGUAAUUGUUUUUAGAACUUCUGAUUAGCACUGGCUGCUGAAACCUGCUACAUAGCCGUAGAUCAGUAACCUUUCAGCAGUCUAGCACCAAAAGUUCCAAAUUAUUUCAUGGUGCUAUGACUUUCAGUCUUCAUUCUAUAUGUGUUGAGGGACACAGGCAACUGAACAUCAAAGAUUGAUGCCCUUGUUUCACAAGCAGUUGGCCCUAGGUACUAAAUAUAUAUAUACUUAAAUUUGUAAUAAACACCUUCCAUUACAAUGAUGAGUGGUGCAUACGCAAGCACUCUAUUGUUAGAUGCAUAUUAAUUUGUUUUUCCAGGUUGAUAUAAAAGUAUACUCUUAAUUUGUAGACGCGCCUUCUCUGACGUGGGGAAGAUUUAUGUCAGAAACUUGCAUAGACAGAUCAUUGAUGGGUGCAUAUUAUUAUUGUACACACAAGCAACCUUAGUGGAAUAGUUCAUUGAUGGGUGGGGAGGGCAGGUCUGCAAGGUGUUGGGAAACCCUUUUCUUGAUGUGAACAAUAUGGUAUGGUAUUGUUCUUAAUUGUCAAUCAAUCCAGGAUUCAACCUUGUUUGCAAAUUCAAGUGUUUGGUUUGAACGAUGACACAAAUCCCAUGCAAGGAACAUGUUAAUAUAGUUUUGUGCAACAUAUAUUUUUCAUCAUAGCAAUGGAAAACUGACUCGUGUGCAAGUGCCCUUCUAAUUGGUGCUCUAUGUAUGUUCUCAUUUGGUUCAGGUUGAUUUUUGUGUAUUCCAAGUUCUACAACUAUCAAGUCCGUUAGAUUUUGGGGGUCUGUAAAUUUAUUUUGUUGCCCACUUGAUGAUUAUUUGAAACCUUUUGGUUGCCUAGUGUGGAUGAGAGAAGCAUGUAUGCCUGUAAUUCAUGAUAUUUAGCUGAUUUUAAAACUCUGUACAUGUACAGUGUACACUCAUGUAAUAGUUAUUUGUCUCUCAUCAUCGACUCCUUGAAAAAUGAUCAUCCGCUUGAAGUAACUAUUGUGCCAAGUAUGGUAUGUACCAAGAUGUUUGUUUUCAUGCAAAUGCCAUAAUUGGAGCGAUGCACUUUGGUUAUACCUAUAUAAUGCCUUGAAUGCCACACAUUCAAGCUGUGCUGUUAUCAAUUGCAUGAGCCAUUGCUCACUAUUUUUCCACAUACCUAUGAGAGUUUAAUUCAGAAAGGGAAGAAGCCGGGUUACCUUCAAUUGUUGGGUACAUAGACAUUCAGUGCUAUCUGGCAUGUGAGUUUUAUUUUCCCUCUCCUCCUGUAUAAUUAAUAAUUUCUGUUCACUGUAUAUGAGACUUGUCCGCAAGUGCUAUUCAAUCCAUGGUUGCUAGCAGAUAUCGUGUGGUGAUUCAGGUUGGAUGUGUACUGAUGUUUGAAAAUAAAUCCUGAAUGUUGUAACUGGUGCUUGUAAUGGUAUUUCGUUUUCGUACUAUGCAAGCCUCAGGAUGCUAAUCAAAAUAACCUUCAUGCCAAUUGAAAUACAGGUCGAUGGAGCUAGCCAGUAACCUAAUAGGUGACUUCUUAAUGCCGGCUAUUGCUAGAUUCCUUCACUGCUGUUGGAAAAUGGAGCUUCAUAUUCUAUCUGAAAUUUUUUAGGUCUCAUGUUUAAUGUUUCUACAUAUCUGCCAUCCUUUUUUUGCAUGGCAUAUCUGCCAUCCUUGUGUACUUGCAUUUGCUUACUGGUUAAAGGCAUUAUACAUUUAUACUAUUUUAUCUAUCUUUUUUUGUAGGGAUUACAUGAUCUACAAGCCAAAGACUCUGAAAUACACAAACAUGAUGAUGAUUAUGAUAGAGGUAGUACAGUGGCAAGCACCAAUCAGUGUGCGGCAAAAACAUAAAGCCGAGAAGCAACACCUGCUGAUGUUCUUUCUUAUGGGAUCAGCAAAUAACCUGCAAUGAAGGAUUCUAAGGAUAAUUUGCUUGCUAUGGUUGCCACUAAAAAUCCUCAUUGUAAUUAUCUUUCGGCUUAUAAUUAUGUCUGUCAUUUCUAAAGUCAUGUUGUGACUGCAAUGAAGGUCUCCUAUAAAUGUCAGUUGUCAUUUCUAAUUCAUGUUAUGCCUAUUCAUGCCUUGUUAAGCCAAGAUCAAGUACCGUCGGUCAUUUCUAAAGAUCAGGAGCCAACUAGCCACCCUAAUCUAAGCAUUGGAUAUUGGUAAGUUUGAAGAAGCCCAACAUGCAUAGCCAAGCUUAAAUUAAGAACCCAACUAGCCGCCUUGAUGUGUGUAGACAAGAUUAGUGCGCACAAUCUCGUCUCAAGAGGUGCGCCUAGGGCGGACCCCAACCACUAGUACAUGAUCUAUCAGGAUGAAAUAAAAGAAAUCCUAGGCAACACAAGUGCACCAACUAUUGAGAUACUCAAUAUGCUGUUCUCAUACAAAAUGUACAGCUCCUGUUAUAGGCUAAGAAACAAAUUCCUCAGUCAUUCCACAGGCCAAGGGAAAAAAAAUCCUGAUUGAAUUUCAUCUCACUCUCUAGUUUCAGCAUUGAUUAAGUCUGUUCCUCGAUGGUCUAUGGAUCUAGAUGUAAUUUUUAUUAUUUUUAAAAUUUGUUGUACCAUCAUGAUUAAAGAUGAAUGGAUAAAAAAAUUUCAUUGAAAAAACACUAAAACUUUCGUAAUCAACGCGGGCGCAAUUUUUUCAGGUGCCUGACAAUUUACCAAACGCGAAAAAUCACACCCCCGCACGCCACGCACAUCCAAUCGCCGCCGCCACCUUGACCAACGGCCGCCGCAUCGCCGUCCACCGCCACGCAUCUGCCAUCCCCGGCUUCCCCUCCGCGGCUCCCUCAUCCGGCUUCGCCGACUCGUCGCGCAUCUUCGUCCUCCCCUCCGUGGCGUCCUUCGCCGGUCUACCCUCCCCGAUGCGGUCCGCACCUACGGACUCCCCUCCUCCUCCGUCAGCAGCUCCAGUCGCCACCCCCGCAGUGGAAUGAAUCACUCCCACGAGAUGGAGGGAGGCACGCCGUCGACCAUGGCAGCAGGGGCGGCCCAGAAGACUUCAAGUUACUUGUUCCUCUCCCCGAUGGAACACGCACAUGCGCGCGCACACACACACACACGAAGGAUGGGAAGGAGGAUAAACGGCGGCACAGAUGCAAAGGCCGGGGGUCAUCCUCCUUCUCUAAAAAAUGUGGUUGAUGGAUGUAUACAUACAUAUGCAGCACGGGAUCAAGGACAUGGAGUACAGCACAAGGGUGAAGGAUGAAGAAGGCUGCCCUGCCAUGGCACUCGUCAACAAGGCCACUGCAGAGGCUCUCAAGCACUCCUUCAGCUAAUCGGCCAAUACCACCUUUAAUACAUGUUGAUUUGGCUCUUGUCCCUUCGUGACAUACCUUUGUUUUGCGGAGGGUUGGCGGAUUUUGAGCCGGAUGUACCAUUCAUGACGCUGGUGAGCAUGGAUUGGGAAGAUGAAGAUGAUAGGUAGAAAAAGAAGAAGACAGAAAAGAGUUAUGAUUUUAAGGUAGAAAAAGUAGACAAUGCUUCUUGAUGUGCAUGAGGAUUCCAAACAUAAAUAUUUGAGACAAUUGGUAUUAAACCGGUGGAAUAUUUAUAUUCCCAUUGCAACUUAAGGGCAAUUAUACCUAUGUUAUUAUA